rnacentral:lncRNA from 1 species
AAGUGCAGGCAGCCCCCUUCCUAGAGAUUAAUUACCACCCUGACAGAUGCACUUCUGCUGAAUCCUAGACCAGGCAGGAGGUGAAGGAGUGGACGUGCGCCUCUCCCCUGGCUCGGCCGGAGGGGCCGACUGAGGGGUAGGCUUUUUUUUGAAGAAUCCAGUCAUUAAGAAGGAGGAUGGAAGAGCAGGGGGGGAAAUGCUGUCCUUUUAGAAAUUAUAGUGAGGCUUUCUGAUAGAACAGUCCAGUUUGAGUUUCCCCAGCUUCAUUAUCUGUUCCAGAAACCGAGAACCUGCCCUGCCUGACUGAGAAAUGACUAUGGUUCUCCGCCUCAUCUGCAUAUGAGAAUCCUGCUGGGAACUAUUGAAAACCCUACGUCAAUUAAAUCAGAAACUCCGGGGGAGGGGUCUGGGUGGCAGGAGUUUAAGGCUCCCAGGUGGUUGAAAGGUGGUGCUGAAACUGGGAGCUUCUGCAGUGUUGUAUACCUGCUACAUAGGAUGGAGUCUGACCUUCUGAAAACAAAACAAAAAAUUAAAAUUAAGUCGUUAAAAGUAGAAAAUAAUGUAAGAAUUGUAUCCUUUCCUUUGAAAGGAGAAACAUGAUGGGAGGAGUUUAUUUAGAUGUCCUAGCUUGGCUUGAUUUUCAACUCCCGCAUUUAAUUAAGACUGAAGCCACAUCUGUUGUUUGCCUGUUUGCAUGGCCUGCUCUCUGGGAAAUUCUGGGAACUUGUACCCCUUUUGUAUGGACUGCAGUGUUUGUGUAUGUGUGAGUGUUUCUUUCUUUUUGUUUGGCCAAGACACUGUAUGUGUUACAGCGUGUUUGUUUUUCAGUCUUUGUUUUGGCUAAAUUGUUUUUCAAGGAACUGCCUGGCUCUUCCUUUAAUUAACUUCCGUCUCCUGCGUAUGUGGCUCAUUUCACAAUCCACCCUGUCCUUUGGUGGCUUUCUGUUCCCCUGGCAAAGAUUUGUGUAAAAGCUAUUUAUGCUGUGUGUUUCUUUGAAGCGCAUUAUUUCUGGUCCUGAAAUGUAGUGGUUUUAAAUGUCUUUUUUGACGGGACUGUGUUCUCCUCCUCUGUCGCUGCUGCUGCAAUUGUUCCUGCUGCUCUUGAACUUCAGCUCUGCGCUAGGAAAUUGCUGCAAUAGUCCAUCUCUUAGUACUUUCUCUUUAAAUCCUACAUUGUGCAUUUUCCCCCACUCUUGAAGGGUAACCAGUGGUCUGCCUUUCUAUCUUGUCACAAUUUACGAGGGGUGCCAGCAGCGUCUGUGGAAAUAGUGCGCGUAACCAGACCAUACAUCAUUGUUCCAGCACUCACUGCAACGCCAGAUCCUUAACCCACUGAGCAAGGCCAGGGAUCAAACCCGCAACCUCAUGGUUCCUAGUUGGAUUUGUUAACCACUGAGCCACGAUGGGAACUCCUCCUUCUGUGCUUUUUGUAUAGUCACCUUUGUGCACUGAAGAGACACAUGAAUGAUUACAAAGAAAGGGUAAAAAAAAAAAAAAGAAGAAGAAGAAAUGGGCUCAGUAGUACCGAGCCUGGACCCCUAGAUGCAGGAUCUCAGAAUGGCAGAAGGUUGGUAGUCGAGGCCAGAACCAGGAAGUGCGGUGUAGUAUGUGAUCAGCUUCUAGCUUCUGCUCAGGGUGACUCGCCAGGGUGACGGCGUGGGCUUAGUGGAAGGAGAGGGAGCACAGUGAGGGCGGAGACACCAGUUUAAAUGACGCAGAACAGCCUACAACCAUUCCCUUGCGGCGUUUUGCCCUGCAGGGUGUGGGAGAAGGACGUGGCUGUUGAGCAAGGUGUUCCUAGAGCCAGAGGUGACUCUUGUGAACAAAGGCACCUGUUUUUCGAACAGAGAAGCAUCCAGAUGCAAAAUCUUCUUUAUCUGGUCUUCAGCCAGAUGCAUUUCUGCUCAGGAAGAAGUACCAUCCUCAGCGUGGGGGCAGUCUUGUCCUCUGAGAAGUCAGUGCCCCAAGCAAAACUGAGUAUAGAAAAAGGAGGUCAGGUUUGGAUAAGCCUUAGGCCCUUCUGAGAAGAGGGGAGCUGGAGGGAUUCAAGUCUGUCCAGCCCACAGGAAACUCUGCUGGGCUGGGGUUGCAAGGUGAGUAGGUGGCCCUGUAGCCCAGCAGUGCCUCUGAUGGUGUUUGGGGAAUUAAGAGAGCUUUGGAAGGCAAACAUGGGAUGGGGGAAAAAUUUUUUUUUUCUAAAUUUUCCUAUCUAAUGUAGCCCAGGUCCUAUUAACUUUGAAAUGUGGCAUAGCUGGGACCUGGUCCAAAAAUGUUCCUGAAAUCUGCAUGAAACCCAGUUAAGGGCCAAUUUAAAAAAAAAGAAAAGGAAAAAAAAACUUCUUUGCUACAGCUUCAGAAUAUUUUUAGGAACCUUCGGAAACCAAUGGCAGCACAAAUUACAGCCCAGCAUCAAGCCCACCUCAUGCACAUCAGCCAGCUUGCUGCUUAUUAGGAAAGCCUUUCUGCUCCCAGGGACCAGUGUUAACAGCUGCACGCGUGUGCUUUUUGCCAGGUGUUUUGUGUUGUGUGCAUUAUCUCACUUAAGCCUCACAGUGACUACAGGACAAGGGUUGUUAUUCCUGUUUUGUAGCUGAGGAAGGGUUUUUGUGUUGCUUGUCCAGGGUGACACCUCUAGAAUGUGCCAGAACACAACAGGGCCUAGUUCUGUCUGAUUUAGGAACCACCGCUCUUUCCACACUGCUGCCCGGGGUAAUCAUUGUGGGACAGUCUUUG